rnacentral:rRNA from 1 species
CACGGGGGUGGCAAGCGUUGUCCGGAAUUACUAGGCGUAAAGGGCAGGUAGGCGGAUAUGUAAGUCGGACGUUUAAAACUCAGUCUCAAGCUGAGGGGUGCGUUUGAUACUGUAUAUCUAGAAUGCGGUGGGGGAAGACGGAAUUCCGGGUGUAGCGGUGGAAUGCGCAGAUAUCCGGAGGAACACCGAAGGCGAAGGCAGUCUUCCAUACCGAGAUUGACGCUGAACUGCGAAGGUGUGGGGAU